ACAGCAGCGCGCUCCGCCGCGCGCAGUCGGAAUUGCGGAAUCCAUGGGCCGGAAGCUGCACUUGUAUGGGCCGCAGAAUUGUUCUGGGCGGCGAUAUCGUUUCUGGGCUGGACCGUUACCUGCGUGAUGUUGUGUGAAGCAAGUCAGUUAGCUGACGGCGAUGGGACAGAGGCGGUUUCAAGAAGCGGCAAACCAAAGGAGAAGGCUGUUCUUUUUUCUUUUCGGCGUCGGAGCAGUGGGAGAGGUGUGGCUCCGAGACUCACGGCGGUGAGGAGAUGGCCGGCGUUCCUGCUGUGCAUAGUGGCCAUUUGGGUCGGUAAUCUGACUCUGAAUUUGUAUUAUGCUGUGCUUUACUUUCUUUAGCAAUUGUUGUGAUUUUGUAUCGCUGUAGGAGGAGGUGUUGCUGCCUGUGUAUCUGCUCAUGCGAUUUUGAGUGAAGUGGUAAAGGCUUUAGAGGGUUCCACGCCUUUUCAUUCCUUCAGAAGUGUUGAUGGCCUCUAUGUGGCGACCGGUUUUGUGAUUGUUCCCUUACCAGAUGCGAUUGACGAUUACACUCUUCUUGAGGCAACGGGCCAUGGAGUGGACCAAGGAGGGAGCCGAGGAGGGCGCAGCAAAGGCACUGAUUCUUGUAGCAAAAUGCGAUUUUGGUGUCAUGGUCUAUGAUUUCAAUUUCAGCGAGGCUGAAGGUCUCCGAAAGGAGAAUGACAUUCUUCGCACGAAAAAUAGGCUUCUUAGUUCUGGUUGGGCUCACUGACUUGAUCAUUUGGAGAUGGUUCAGAAGGUGCUGGAAAGUAUCACUCUUGACACUGUUGGUGGUUGCCCGAGGGAUUCGAUUGGUCUGCUUGCUCAUGGAGCCGCUGUGUUUGCAGAGGAGAAUGUUUGGGCUGGCACUUCUGCGGUGCAAGAGCUGGCUAGCGAGUUCAUGGAUGAGACUUGAGUUCGUGAAGGUGUUCUUUUGGCAAAAUAGAAUAUGCAGUAACCACCUAUAUGCCUGUGAACGGGCAGCCAAGCCUAGUUGAUUUUGUAUGCUAUGUUUCCUGUAUUAUCAUGUAAGACUACAUGUACGCGUAUCCAUAUAUUGGACUAUGUGAAGUAUUGUUGCAAUUGAUAUUCCCAGUGUGAUGGUUGCAAAGAUUCAAGAAUUGGUGUGACUAUUGUAUCUCUGAUUGCA